GAGAGUCAAAAAGACCGCAAAACCGUUAGGAGGGAAGCGAAUGCAGCUGAAGUAGCUCCCCUUCAGGUUCAGGAAGUGUCGGAUCGGCUUGCUGGCCGGCGGUAGCCGUAUGGCGCUGGCGGUUGGACGGCUGGCCGACUACUCUGCACUCCUGGGGGGAGCUGGCCAACAACAGUUGCUUCCGGCUCAUCAGGGCGGUUGGGCAGGUAGCCACCUCACUCGAGGUGGAACUUACAGCCAUCCGUCUGGUAGUCUGGAGGCGACUGAGGAGAGAUGUGAACUUUCACACCCGCAGCGCAGGCCCUUCUGGGCCGGGCCGCCUCUUUCCGUUUGGGCACCGCUCCGGGGACUGCUUGCAGUGUCCGCUGACGAAUGUCUGCUCGGUCGGGGGAAUGGUCACGCCUUGCGCUGCAGUUGUUGGUGUCCAAAUGGCUGCAUCCGACCCGUCU
rnacentral:rRNA from 1 species